rnacentral:misc_RNA from 1 species
GGUUCGAUCCUGGCUCAGAUUGAACGCUGGCGGGAUGCUUUACACAUGCAAGUCGAACGGCAGCACGGACUUCGGUCUGUGGCGAGUAUGAACGGGUGAGUAAUGUAUCGGAACGUGCCUAGUAGCGGGGGAUAACUACGCGAAAGCGUAGCUAAUACCGCAUACGCCCUUCGGGGGAAAGCGGGGACCUUCGGGCCUCGCACUAUUAGAGCGGCCGAUAUCGGAUUAGCUGGAAGCUGGUGGGGUAACGGCUCACCAAGGCGACGAUCCGUAGCUGGUUUGAGAGACGACCAGCCACACUGGGACUGAGACACGGCCCAGACUCCUACGGGAGGCAGCAGUGGGGAAUUUUGACAAUGGGGGAAACCCUGAUCCAGCCAUCCCGCGUGCGAUGAAGGCCUUCGGGUUGUAAAGCACUUUUGGCAGGAAAGAAACGGCACGGAUAAUACCCCGCAACUGACGGUACCUUGCAGAAUAAGCACCGGCUAACUACGUG